rnacentral:rRNA from 1 species
UGGCGGACGGGUGAGUAAUGUCUGGGAAACUGCCCGAUGGAGGGGGAUAACUACUGGAAACGGUAGCUAAUACCGCAUAACGUCGCAAGACCAAGAGGGGACCUUCGGGCCUCUUGCCAUCGGAUGUGCCCAGAUGGGAUUAGCUAGUAGGUAAGGUAACGGCUUACCUAGGCGACGAUCCCUAGCUGGUCUGAGAGGAUGAUCAGCCACACUGGGACUGAGACACGGCCCAG